rnacentral:lncRNA from 10 species
GUGAUCUCAGCUCACUGCAACCUCUGCUUCCCGGGUUCAAUCAGUUCUCCUGUCUCAGCCUCCUGAGUAGCUGGGAUUACAGGUGUGCUCCACUGCACCCAGCUAAUUUUUGUAUUUUUAGUCGAGAUGAAGUUUCACCAUGUUGGCCAGCUGGUCUGGCUUCAAGUGAUCUGCCUGCUUCCGCCUCCCAAAGUGCUGGGAUUACAGGUGUGAGCCACCGCGUCCAGCCUUUAAUUUUAAAUAUGCUUAGGAGAAUCUUCCCAGCUACUUUUUUCACCAGACUGUCAUCAAAAUGCAUGUCAAAAGAAGACCAGUGUCUAUUGAAGAAUGGCAGCAAUGCAUUAAAAGCUACCCUGGUGGCCUUAAAGACUUAACGCAGCUUUUAAAAAUGACUAAUUUAUUCACUGGGCUUCUCCAAAUCACCUUGCACAGUGGAUCACAUUAUACAGAAAAGUAGAUGGAAGCCACAUAUAAUAGGCGAUGGCUGGGCUGCGUUAUGACCUUAUUUUCACUGAUAAAGACAAAUCUCAUAACUCACUGGUAGCAAUGUCAGUCCUUUAUCUUGCCUUGGACUCAUGAGGAUACAAGUCACAUCCACCGAGCCUGCUCCAAGUGUGACAAGGAAACUCAGGCAGCCAAUCGUCACAGAGGUGAUUCAUUCAUUUGCAUCCAGAAAUCCUGUUGGUUAGAAAGCAAUAAAAGCGUUUGGGCUUCUUUUUUCUCCCCCACUCUAUAAAAAGUGGCUCACUCUGGUGAAAUAUACGCCUUCACUCAUCUUGCAGAGCUGCUGUAAAAAAUAACAUUUGGCAGUGGGAAGUGGGACUUUUGCUUGAGGAACUGAUGUGUAUAUAUAAUAUUUGUACAUUUCUUAGAUGGCCAUGGACACUUGUCAAUGCUUUCGUGUUCCAAAGACUUGUACAGAUAAAAUUUACUAUGGUGUGGGUCUUGAGUUUUAAAGUGUAUGAGAGGAUUCGUAAAGUGUGAGGUUGCAUGAUGAGGUGAUAAGAAAAACAAGGCGACUGGAGCAGUAGAGUGGUGACAUUAAGUGAAGCAUUUAGUUUGACUCACACGUGAGUCGUGAGAAAGCACGGUGCUUUCUUUCGCCAUGCACCCUGCCUGCUCUAGCUCUGUCUCAGAGUCCUGGUUGUUCAUGUCUGUUUCUGCUCUCUGCCUGGUUCUUUGAACCCUGACUUUGGCCACAGAGGGUCAUGCAACCCAGCCAGGGCCUUGGAACGCUGAACAGAUUCCAGAAGACCUGACGUAGUAGCCCAAGGAAAAUGGAGACAUAGUGUUGGAGAUGGAGGUGGAGGUGGGGCUGUGGAGUGUCCCUGAGUGGCUAAAGGCUGGUUCCUCUGCUGGGGCACAAAUCUGUGGGGGAGCCUAGAUGUUUAUUUUCAAAGCAGAUGCUGGAUCUUCCUUUACACUUUGUGCUGUGCUAAGUAAAAUGUUGGUACUGGAUAAAUGUUAAUAAUAGCAGCCAUAACGAUGAUAAUAGAAAUGUAGUAGCUUCACCCCCUGUAUGCCAAGAGAGCUUCAGAGACUUAAGCAUUUCUUAUGAUUGACAUUAACAUGCCCAGGGGCAGGGUCCUUGUCCAGCAGACUCUGCCCCUCGGUGUUUUUCCUACUCUCCCGGUUGCUUAGAAAGGCUGUGGGAGGUAGGCAAGAGGUCCUAGAGGCCAGGGCUUCCUGCAUAUUCAUCUUCAGAACAGUCACUCUGAGAACCUCAUGUGACUUGUCUGUCAAUCAGACCCCUCUGUCCAACGAGAUCCUUUAAAGAAACAAUAAUGAUACCUUCAUUUUAAUUAUUCUUUCUCUCUUUUCUUCUUCUUUUUUUUUUUUUGUCUCACUUCAGGAUUG